GAUAUACAGGAAAAACCAUGGAUAAAACAAGGUUCAGCAGCUCACCAGGCUCUUGUAGCCAUCGUCCUGGAGAAGCGAUGAUUGAAGAAUGUUGUGAAGUUCAUCAACUUCAGGACAACAUCCGAUCUGGAAAGCUUCCAGAAUCACAUACUCAUGUACGCAGGAAAGCGGUUCUCCUAUACUCCAGCAGUGUAUCGGACGCGGACUCUGCUUGCUGCGAUAGACUACAACUGUGACAAUGGCCGCGCCCCGGCACGAAACAAAGAUGGACACAAGAUUUACAGACGAUGCUACAAUAAGAAGUCCAAAUCCUGGAGUGUCUGCACAGUGAAGGAAAAGAAGUACUCCUACAUUCAAGACCUGCAGAGAGGCAUUCUUCGGAAGAGGCUUGAAAGUGGAGGUGGCCUUCCCAAGACACAGACCCUGAGGCCAGAUGACCCCCGGAAU